rnacentral:rRNA from 1 species
GAUGAACGCUGGCGGCGUGCCUAAUACAUGCAAGUCGAGCGAACAGACGAGGAGCUUGCUCCUCUGACGUUAGCGGCAGACGGGUGAGUAACACGUGGAUAACCUACCUAUAAGACUGGGAUAACUUCGGGAAACCGGAGCUAAUACCGGAUAAUAUAUUGAACCGCAUGGUUCAAUAGUGAAAGACGGUUUUGCUGUCACUUAUAGAUGGAUCCGCGCCGCAUUAGCUAGUUGGUAAGGUAACGGCUUACCAAGGCAACGAUGCGUAGCCGACCUGAGAGGGCGACCGGCGGCACAAGGACUGCGCCACGAAGCCGACUCGUACGGGCCGCCGCAGUCGGGAGUGUUCCGGCACGGGCGGGCUCCUUAAGGAGCCAUGUCACGUGAGUGAUGAAGGUCUUCUCAUCGUUACACGCUCUUACUCGGCAACAACAAAAGCCUACGUAACUAUGCCCGUCUCCACGGUCCUUAAUAAGAGGACCCGGGCGAACUCCGUG